GUGUGCUCACUUUGGCCACGCAUAUACUGAAAUUGGAACAAUACAGAGAUUAGUAUGGUUCCUGCACAAGAAUGAUAGGCAAAUUUGUGAAGCAUUCUGCAUUGGU